AAAAAGGAAAUAAUUUGUUGUUUGUUUUUAUUUUUUCCCGCACUUAUUUCAAUAUCUUUGACAUUUGACGUUUAGAAAACAACUCCGGACGUGGGUAAUUACUGUUCCAAAUUGAUGACGUAUAAAGGGCUAAUUGGUGACGUCACGUAUCUCAAGCGGUUAUAAUUAUAACCCCUUGGACGUGUUUGGUUAAUACCAUUUAGGAACGGUAAUUACCGAUAGACCGCUUGGAAUCGGUUUAUGUUUUCGAGAUUUCGAGUGUGACUUGGCAACAUGCAACAUUCUUAUUUACAAUGAACCACAGCGGCGUUCCCAUAAUAAAAUGUAAACAAAAAUAUAAACAUUCAUUUUUGUAAAUUUGCUAUGUAGAAUUUGUAGAAAUGGAGAAAAGAGAAUUAUAUAAAAAAAAAUCUUGUUUAGGUUGUAAAAUCGUGUCAAUAUCAUGUCUAACUGGUAUAGGUGGUUACUUAAUUCAUACUGCUAAAAUGUAUAAGGGUAAUGCUAAAAUCUUUACUGCAGCUGUAGGUUUAGGUUCUCUUUGCUUAGGUAUAGGAGAAAUAUUUGAUAAAAGUCCAUUUAGAUGAGAAAAAACACUUGGCUAGAACACAUCUUUAUUAGAAAAUCCAUAUCAAAGUUUCAAGAGUUUAUUUAUUAAUAAAACCCUUUGAUAUAA